UACGUAGGGUGCGAGCGUUGUCCGGAUUUACUGGGCGUAAAGAGCGCGUAGGCGGAAGCCUAAGCGGUGCCUGAAAGCCCCCGGCUCAACCGGGGAGGGUGGUGCCGAACUGGGCUUCUUGAGGGCGAUAGAGGAGAGUGGAAUUCCGGGUGUAGCGGUGAAAUGCGUAGAGAUCCGGAGGAACACCAGUGGCGCAGGCGGCUCUCUGGGUCGGCCCUGACGCUGAGGCGCGAAAGCGUGGGGAGCGAACGGG
rnacentral:rRNA from 1 species